rnacentral:rRNA from 1 species
UGGGGAAUCUUGCACAAUGGGGGAAACCCUGAUGCAGCGACGCCGCGUGAACGAUGAAGCCCUUCGGGGUGUAAAGUUCUUUCGGCAGGAACGAUAAUGACGGUACCUGAAGAAGAAGCUGCGGCUAACUACGUGCCAGCAGCCGCGGUAAUACGUAGGCAGCAAACGUUGUUCGGAGUUACUGGGCGUAAAGAGUACGUAGGCGGUUUGCCAAGUUUGGUGUGAAAUCUCCUGGCUUAACUGGGAGGGUGCGCCGAAUACUGGCGGGCUUGAGUAUUGGAGAGGAAAGCGGAAUUCCUGGUGUAGCGGUGAAAUGCGUAGAUAUCAGGAGGAACACCGGUGGUGUAGACGGCUUUCUGGACAAUCACUGACGCUGAGGUACGAAAGCGUGGGUAGCAAACAGGAUUAGAUACCCCGGUAGUCC